AGGAAGCAAUGGCGUCUCGCGUCGUUUCGCGUACCGAUAUUCCUGAAGGUUUUGGGCCAAAUUAUCAUAAAUGUGACAUUUCACUGCGAAAAAAACAGUAGCCAAAGGAAUUUGUAACUGGCUUCUACAUCGGAAAGCCCGAUGUAUCUUUAGAGGACGACGAUAUCUAACAUUUACGGGGUGAAAUCUAUCCAAGUCAGAGAAAUCGGAUAGCCGCCAUGUUGUCAACAUUGACAUCGAUACAGAGGAAAAGCGUGUGUGUGACGCAUACUGUAAAUGCAAACAAGGGUAAGUUUAACUUUUAAUAACACCGGUCAUUCUUACAGGAUUGUUGAAACAAAAACUAAAUCAUCACACAAUAUGAGUAUAUCAUGAAUGGCCCGAAUGGGGAACCCUGAAGUGACAUAAAAUGACAGUUACAUCCCAGCUAUAUAUAACCUAAUAUUUUAUAGUAUGAGCAGAUAUGGUUUAUUAAGUUAAUGCAUAACAAGUUUCAGUUCUCAGCGACUGAACACUCACCCUUAUAAAUAAUAGUGUAAUAGUUGACAAGUGACAAUUGUGGGUUAUACCAAUCUGUAACUUUUGCAUUGUUUACACAUUCACAUGUUUUUAUUCUCGUUCAUACAGAAAUUGUGGAACCUGUGAGGAAAAGUGCCCCCAUUGUGGGGCUUAAACUCACGACCACUAAAAUACUAGCACGGCGCUCUAACAAACUCAGCUGACCGGGCAGCUGGUUUUAACCCACACACACUACCCUCCCCCAUUGACCUGUUUAGACCGGAGGGUCACCUGCUGUUUACCGCUGCCACCAUUAAAGAAUUCUAUUCCCGUUGUAAUUGUCUUCAACAAGCCUUCCGCCACAGGGGGCCUAGAAUAAGACCAGAACCCCCCCCCCCCCCCACACACACACACACACACAUGAUAUUUGCCAGUCCAGGCAAUGUCAACCGCAAGAGAAAACCAGUGAUGGCAAGUUUUACAAAUAAUCGGAAAGUGUGGUCUUUUGAAGAGAGUCAUUGAAGUUGUUCAGCAUGUUGUGUUUCUUGAUUCUUGGAAGAAUGUACCUCUAUGGUGUUAGCUUCAGUCCUGGAAUAUAACACCAGUUGUUGCAUAUUUAAUAUCAGUUAAUACAUUGUUGUGUUGCAAACUAAAACUUUGAUAUUUCGUUGGUGCUUAUGUAGGAUAUUGUAGGUGUACAUCUCUUUAUUGCAAUGGCAGAUAUAUAUUAAAAUAUAUAACAUAAGCAGAAGUUAUUUUUUCACUGUUAAAGCUGCACUUUCACAGAUUGGUCGCUUUGACAACUUACAAAAGAUCCGAUUGCAUUUAUCAUAGUUUGGCUCAAAGAGGUUUGGUUAUAUAUAUAUAAGGACUUAAUUUAAAACAAUGACAAAAUAAGCCCAUUCUCAAACAAAAAAGUGUCAAAACAGAAAUCUGUGAGUUUGCAACUUUAAGAAUGGGAUGGAAUAUCAUAAAAGAUUAUAGAUUUACGUAAUUUGCACUAAAUAUAAGAAUAACAUUGAAAUCAUGUACAAGUUUGACUUGUUCAUUAUUCAUAAUAAAAGACUACUACAGUAAGUCUUUACAGCACAUGAUUGGCAGAAUCAAGUGAACUCAAUAAUUGAUUUAAAUGUACAGUGAAAUAAAAUGAUUUAUACAGCAAAUAAAACCAUAACGUUUCA